rnacentral:lncRNA from 1 species
AACAAAAUUCAUGAUUCCUGUUUUCUUUUCGCCCAUUUCAAAUGGAGCUUGCUGAGAUCCCAUCACAGCAGGCAUUCUGUCUCUCCUUAUCUGACUUGAAGCUCACAAUUUGCCUGGGAGCACAAGACCAUUCUGGCACAGGAGGUGCUUUCUGCAUACACUGUUUUAUCAUUGGACAAUUUUCACUUGUUUAUCACAUGACGAUUUGCUGACAUACAGAUAACAUUCAACAGGGUCAACUGAUUAUGGACCUAACUUCAGGUCAUCAUCACCAGCUUCUGCAGACCUGGGCUCUGUAACCAAGUCAAGCCAGCUCACUGGAGAGAUCAUUGAGGCUGGAAACAAAGCAGGAAGCAAUGAAGAAAUCAGGAACACCACCCCUCUCUUGAGCACCUAGAGGUGCCAUGGUUGGCCAUGUUUUAGUCUCUCUGACCCUUCUAGUGCAUAUGUAAAAAUCAGGAGGUGUGAGCACUUAGAGAAAAGGCAUGUGUAAGGCACCUUGGCUUGUGCCAGGCAUCAAUGACUUAAUAAGAAUAGUUAUUCCUUCCCUUUCA